GUAUGUAGCUGCGGUUGGGCUGCUUUUUCGAUAACUUCUGUCAGCGUGACAUCAAUUCAGUUCGCGUGGACCUCGCAGCUUUCGCCAUUUUAACAACACUUCAUAUAUGAGAAGUGGCGUCGAUAAGGCGAGACAAGAGCCUUCAAUUUCUGCUACUGAGAUGUCAUGUCGUUGCCCAGUUGUGCAAUUUCCACAAAGAUAAACAUGUGGAGUGUGAGAUACUUUCAGUAUACUACGUUGGCACAGAAGGAAUGAUUGAUUUACUAAGCACCUGAAGAAAUUACGGAGGAGAAAAAGUACCAAAACUGAACUGACAUG